rnacentral:rRNA from 1 species
GACGAACGCUGGCGGCGUGCCUAACACAUGCAAGUCGAACGGGACCAGAUGUCAGACAGCGGACAUCAGAAGACAGAUUACAGAUGGCAGAAUACAGAUUCAGAAGAGGGCGUGGAGGAAACCAAGCCUAGAUUCUAAUAUCCUAAGUCUGAGCAUUAGUAUCUGAACUCUGGUAUCUGGCGUCUGAUGUCUGGUCUAGUGGCGGACGGGUGAGUAACGCGUGAGCAACCUGCCUUACAGAGGGGGAUAACAUUCGGAAACAAAUGCUAAUACCGCAUAACAUAUAUUUACGGCAUCGUAGAUAUAUCAAAGGAGCAAUCCGCUGUAAGAUGGGCUCGCGUCCGAUUAGAUAGUUGGUGAGGUAAUGGCUCACCAAGUCUGCGAUCGGUAGCCGGACUGAGAGGUUGAACGGCCACAUUGGGACUGAGACACGGCCCAGACUCCUACGGGAGGCAGCAGU